rnacentral:lncRNA from 1 species
AAAAAUUUCUUCAAAAGAUCAAUAACCAUAGAAAUAUUUCUGGGAACGGAUAAACACAUAGAACAUCUUAGAAGAAACUACUAAAAUCUGUCUAGCCGUAACUGUCACACUCAGAUAUUACACAUUUUAGAUAUCAUUUCCCCAACUAUUUCUGCCAUCACAAAUUUCAUAUUUCUUUUCACUAAAGAAGACUAGUUCUAAAUAAAUUUUGAUUUGCACUUUUCUCGACCUUGUACCUUAGUAAUUCGAUUUAUCAAAAUAAAUUUCUUCUCUAAUUGGAACAGUGCAUAACUCCAAUAAUCCUUAUGUCAAUCUGAUACUUUUCUAGCUUUGACUUU